GACGAACGCUGGCGGCGUGCUUAACACAUGCAAGUCGAACGGAAAGGCCCUGCUUUUGUGGGGUGCUCGAGUGGCGAACGGGUGAGUAACACGUGAGUAACCUGCCCUUGACUUUGGGAUAACUUCAGGAAACUGGGGCUAAUACCGGAUAGGAGCUCCUGCUGCAUGGUGGGGGUUGGAAAGUUUCGGCGGUUGGGGAUGGACUCGCGGCUUAUCAGCUUGUUGGUGGGGUAGUGGCUUACCAAGGCUUUGACGGGUAGCCGGCCUGAGAGGGUGACCGGCCACAUUGGUACUGAGAUACGGCCCAGACUCCUACGUGAGGCAGCAGUGGGGAAUAUUGCACAAUGGGCGGAAGCCUGAUGCAGCAACGCCGCGUUCGUGAUGACGGCCUUCGGGUUGUAAACCGCUUUCGCCUGUGACGAAGCGUGAGUGACGGUAAUGGGUAAAGAAGCACCGGCUAACUACGUG
rnacentral:rRNA from 1 species